rnacentral:misc_RNA from 1 species
AUUUGCGUGGCUGGAAACGGCCUACGCCUCGGGUCUCGCUUAGGCAGGACUGUCUGAAAACCCUUGAAUAUAAAACUUUGUUGCUUUGGCGGGCCGCCUCUCGAGGCGUCGGCUACGGCUGAUAGUGCCCGCCAGAGGCCAAAAAGAAACUCUAUUGUCUUUGACGUCUGAGUAUUAUAAAAUAGUUA